AGAGAGAGAGAGAGAGAGAGAGAGAGAGAGAGAGAGAGAGACUUCCAGGGAGGGAAUUCAAGAAAGUGGAGGAGAAACAAAAGAAUUAAGGGAAAUUAGGCUUGCUAUUCACAAAUCAACCCUCUAAGGUCGGAUGCUGCAUUGUAGUGCAACUUUAGCACGUAUUUUGAGGAGCCCACUGUAUUAAGCAGGUUGAGCUGCAAGAUUUGGAUUUACUUAUUUAUAGGCCACGGGGCCUCAGUUAUGUGGGCAGAAUGCCAUUGUUGCAAAAGGGUUACACCCUUCUUCUUGUGCCUUAAGUGAUGUAAGCCCAAGGGCAAU